ensembl:lncRNA
AUGGUGACUGAGACUGUCAAUCUGCCUAACAUCUGCUUUUCUGUUCCUCAGAAGAAAGUCAUUAUGAGGGGUUCAUUUGCAGUGGUGUGGAUGUACUCUUUGGGUGUGUUUGCAGUUCUGUCCCGUUUGAGGAUGGAGAGUUUUGCAGUCAGACAGGACUGUCUCUUAAACUCAGUGUGGACUCCAGGAUAUGCCUGCACUGCUUGCUUGGAUCCUUUGCCGCACCACUUGUCGCUCAAGUAACGAUUGCUCAACUCCAUGCACCACCUAGCCUGACAUAACAUGCCUUUCACAUUCUGACAGCACGCAGGCGUGGCCUCCCUUCCUCGGCUCUGAAAUCCCCCAUUCUUGCCCGCUGCUUGACCCAGAUGGAGAGACCUGACCUUUCCAAAGAGCUGCAGAUUAAGAGAAACAUGAAAACCAGACAACCAGGUGAGACCUGGGGCAGUUGGUUGACAGGAUGGAAUGAUAUAUUUGGCAAACUGUUCACAUCAUGAAUGUAUCAUGAACUAAAUAUUAAAUACCUUUUAUUCAGGCUUAAAGGGGGUUUGAUGCAUUUUAUUUAAUGCAUCCUUGCUGAAUAAAGGUAUUAGUUUAAUAUUUUAGUACA